GCGGGGCAACCUGGCGACGAGUGGCGAACGGGUGAGUAAUGUAUCGGAACGUGCCCAGUUGUGGGGGAUAACUGCUCGAAAGAGCAGCUAAUACCGCAUACGACCUGAGGGUGAAAGCGGGGGAUCGCAAGACCUCGCGCAGUUGGAGCGGCCGAUAUCAGAUUAGGUAGUUGGUGGGGUAAAGGCUCACCAAGCCAACGAUCUGUAGCUGGUCUGAGAGGACGACCAGCCACACUGGGACUGAGACACGGCCCAGACUCCUACGGGAGGCAGCAGUGGGGAAUUUUGGACAAUGGGGGCAACCCUGAUCCAGCCAUGCCGCGUGCGGGAAGAAGGCCUUCGGGUUGUAAACCGCUUUUGUCAGGGAAGAAAAGACUCCUGUUAAUACCGGGGGUUCAUGACGGUACCUGAAGAAUAAGCACCGGCUAACUACGUGCCAGCAGCCGCGGUAAUACGUAGGGUGCAAGCGUUAAUCGGAAUUACUGGGCGUAAAGCGUGCGCAGGCGGUUAUGCAAGACAGAUGUGAAAUCCCCGGGCUCAACCUGGGAACUGCAUUUGUGACUGCAUGGCUAGAGUACGGCAGAGGGGGAUGGAAUUCCGCGUGUAGCAGUGAAAUGCGUAGAUAUGCGGAGGAACACCGAUGGCGAAGGCAAUCCCCUGGGCCUGUACUGACGCUCAUGCACGAAAGCG
rnacentral:rRNA from 1 species